GAUGAGCGCUGGCGGCGUGCUUAACACAUGCAAGUCGAACGGACUUUAUAUGAAUCCUAGCCAUUCUAAAGGUAGAGGCGGACGGGCUAGUAACGCGCGAAUCACCUGCUCUGUACCGGGGAACAACAGUUGGAAACGGCUGCUAAUACCGCCGGAGCGCACGGUUCCGCAUGGAACAGUGCGAAAAACUCCGGGGGGACAGGAUGGAGUGGCGUCCGAUUAGCCAGUUGGGGGGGUAACGGCCUACCAAAGCAACGAUCAGUAGCCGGUCUGAGAGGGUGAGCGGACACAUUGGGACUGAGAAGCGGCCCAAACUCCUGCGGGAGGCAGCAGUGGGGAAUAUUGCACAAUGGGGGAAACCCUGAUGCAGCUACGCCGCGUGAGUGAAGAAGUUAUUCGAAACGUAAAGCUCUAUCAGCAGGGAAGAAAAUGACGGUACCUGACUAAGAAGCCCCGGCUAACUACGUGCCAGCAGCCGCCGUAA
rnacentral:rRNA from 1 species